GAUGAACGCUAGCGGGAGGCUUAAUACAUGCAAGUCGUACGGUAACAGGUGUAGCAAUACAUGCUGACGAGUGGCGCACGGGUGAGGAACACGUACGCAAUCUGCCUCUGACUGGGAGAUAGCCCUGGGAAACUAGGAUUAAUACCCCAUAACAUCACGGUGUGGCAUCACAUUGUGAUUAAACCUCCGGGGGUCAGAGAUGAGCGUGCGUUUGAUUAGGUAGUUGGCGGGGUAACGGCCCACCAAGCCUGCGAUCAAUAGCUGGCGUGAGAGCGCGACCAGCCACACGGGAACUGAGACACGGUCCCGACUCCUACGGGAGGCAGCAGUAGGGAAAUAUUGGACAAUGGCUGAAAAGCUGAUCCAGCCAUCCCGCGUGAAGGCAG
rnacentral:rRNA from 1 species